AGAGUUUGAUCCUGGCUCAGGACGAACGCUGGCGGCGUGCCUAACACAUGCAAGUCGAGCGGGAGACUUCGGUCUCCAGCGGCGGACGGGUGAGUAACACGUGGGUAACCUGCCUUGUAGAGGGGGAUAGCCUUCCGAAAGGAAGAUUAAUACCGCAUAACAUUAUGCUUUUGCAUGAGAGUAUAAUCAAAGGAGCAAUCCGCUACAAGAUGGACCCGCGGCGCAUUAGCUAGUUGGUGAGGUAACGGCUCACCAAGGCGACGAUGCGUAGCCGGCCUGAGAGGGUGAACGGCCACAUUGGAACUGAGACACGGUCCAGACUCCUACGGGAGGCAGCAGUGGGGAAUAUUGCACAAUGGGCGAAAGCCUGAUGCAGCAACGCCGCGUGAGUGAUGAAGGUUUUCGGAUCGUAAACUUCUUUGAUGAGGGACGAAUAAUGACGGUACCUCAAAAACAAGCCACGGCUAACUACGUGCCAGCAGCCGCGGUAAUACGUAGGUGGCGAGCGUUGUCCGGAUUUACUGGGUGUAAAGGGCGUGUAGGCGGGAAUGUAAGUCAGAUGUGAAACUCCGGGGCUCAACUUCGGAACUGCAUCUGAAACUAUGUUUCUUGAGUGCUGGAGAGGAAAGCGGAAUUCCUAGUGUAGCGGUGAAAUGCGUAGAUAUUAGGAGGAACACCAGUGGCGAAGGCGGCUUUCUGGACAGUAACUGACGCUGAGGCGCGAAAGCGUGGGGAGCAAACAGGAUUAGAUACCCUGGUAGUCCACGCUGUAAACGAUGGAUACUAGGUGUGGGAGGUAU
rnacentral:rRNA from 1 species